rnacentral:rRNA from 1 species
GAUCGGGGACUAAGAGUGAGCUAUAGAUCACCUUGGGUCUCUCAUUUGUUGUUUGCAGAUGACAGCCUAAUCUUCAUUAAUGCAAGCGCAGCUAGUGCUUUGCGUCUGAAUGAAAUUCUGAGGAUCUAUGGUGAUGCCUCGGGUCAGUGUGUGAACCGGGACAAAAGCUCUAUUUAUUUCAGCACAAAUACCCCGGACACCAUCAGGCAAGAUUCGAAGUCGACUUUGAAUAUCCAAGUCGAGGCUUUUAGUGAGAGAUAUUUGGGGCUCCCCACUGCGGUUGGACGUAUCACCAGUGGAUCAUAUUAG